rnacentral:rRNA from 1 species
GAGCGAACAGGGAAGAGCCCAGCACCGAAUCCCGCGGUCAACGCCGUAGGGACAUGUGGUGUACGGGAGCGGCCGUUACCGGCGCAGACGCGCGUUCCAAGUCCUCUUGAAUGUGGCCACGGCCCGUAGAGGGUGCCAGGCCCGUACGAGCGCGUCACGUCUGCGUCGGGGGCUCGUCUCCUUCGAGUCGGGUUGCUUGAGACCGCAACCUAAAGCAGGUGGUAAAUUCCAUCURAGGSUAAAUACGACCACGAGACCGAUAGCGAACAAGUACCGUGAGGGAAAGUUGAAAAGAACUUUGARGAGAGAGUUCAAGAGUACGUGAAACCACUCGGGGGCAAACGCAUGGUGCUUGAGCGAACUCGACAGGGGAAACUCAUCACCUCUCCGUCGUCCGCCCGGUCGGGCUCCGCUGCCGCGUCUCGGACGGGACUCCGGUCCCGGCCGAGCUCCGCGGGGUAACGGCGGAUGUUUCCGGCCGUCGAGCGAGGAAGUUUCUCUCCCUCGUUCGGGGUCGGCGUCGGUCGAGGUGCGCACUUUUCCUUCGUCAUAGUUGGUCGCGUUCCGUUGGACGGCGGUCUAAGGCCCGGACGGUGGAUCCUUCCGGGCGUGCUCUCUCUCGGGGCACGCGCCGAGGAGGUGCCUCCGGUGUGUCGGGCGCGGCAGCUUUAAAACGCGCCGCGCAUCGGCUUUCCCGACCGACCGUGUAAGUCGCUCUCCGUGAGGGAGAGCGCAGUAACGACGGUCUAAACUCGAAUCGGAAGAUCGUCCUCCCACCGCGGAGGUCCCUGUUGUCUGCGAGAACAGUUCGCGGCGGCGUUUGCACGUCGGCCCGUCUCGUCUGCGAUGCGUUCGCGGAGGCACCGGCGCACGCUUUCGUCGACCGCGGCGGUUCUACGUUCAGCUGUCGGGGAUGGCGAUGAGCGAAAGCUCUCAGCUCAAGAUCUUAACGGCGGCUUAAGUCUCGGGACACCAUGCGACCCGUCUUGAAACACGGACCAAGGAGUCUAACAUGUGCGCAAGUCAAAGGGACAGAACGAAUCCCAAUGGCGCAAUGAAAGUGAAGCACGGCGGGGCCUCGCCGACACCACGUCGGAGUGGGGCCCCGAACCGAAGGGAAGAUGGCUCGGGGGGGUCGGCGUUCCGCGCCGGCCCGGAGAGAAAGUCUAGCACACAUCACUCCGGCCCGCAUUCCCGGGGCGUCGUCUUGUCGACGCACCUAGAGCGCACACGUUGGGACCCGAAAGAUGGUGAACUAUGCCUGGCCAGGACGAAGCCAGGGGAAACCCUGGUGGAGGUCCGUAGCGAUUCUGACGUGCAAAUCGAUCGUCUGAGCUGGGUAUAGGGGCGAAAGACCAAUCGAACCAUCUAGUAGCUGGUUCCCUCCGAAGUUUCCCUCAGGAUAGCUGGCGCUCGUAGAGCAGAAAUAAAAUGCUGUAACUGAAUCUCAUACGGUAAAGCGAAUGAUUAGAGGCCUUAGGGCCGAAACGACCUUAACCUAUUCUCAAACUUUAAAUGGGUGAGAGCGGCGGCGUACUCAAAUAACCUGGGGGGCUCUACACAGAGUCCCCUAUUGUUGACGCCGCCGAGAGGAUCAUGAGCGCCCAGUGGGCCAUUUUUGGUAAGCAGAACCGGCGCUGUGGGAUGAACCAAACGCAGAGUUACGGCGCCUAAAUCGAUGCCCAUGGGAUACCAUGAAGGGCGUUGUUUGCUUAAGACAGCAGGGCGGUGGACAUGGAAGUAGUAAUCCGCUAAGGAGUGUGUAACAACUCACCUGCCGAAGCAACUAGCCCUGAAAAUGGAUGGCGCUGAAGCAUCGUGCCUAUACUCUGCCGUCGCGGCAAGCGAAGGAACGUAGGUUUGUGCGGUGGUGCGUCUUUGGCGUGCGCCCUCAACCGCCAAUGUUCCUGUUAGGCCGCGGCGAGUAGGAGGGGUUCGACGGUGAGCGCAGAAGGGUUGGGCGUGAGCCUGCCUGGAGCCGCCGUCGGAGCAGAUCUUGGUAGUAGUAGCAAUUACUCUAGCGAGACCCUUGAGGACUGAUGCGGAGAAGGGUUUCGUGUGAACAGCAGUUGCACACGAGUCAGUCGAUCCUAAGCCCUAGGAGAAAUCUGAAGUCGAUGCGGGCCGCCGUACAGAGAGUAUUGGAUCUUUGUCGGCCCCGCGGGCGAAAGGGAAUCCGGUUCCUAUUCCGGAACCCGGUCGCGGAACCGUCUCACGUCGGGCCCCCGGCUCAGGCCGGAAGCUCGUCGGGGUAACCCAAACAGACCCGGAGAAGCCGUCGGGAGGUCGGGGAAGAGUUUUCUUUUCUGUUUGAGCGCUCGGGUUCCCUGGAAUUGUCUAGCACAGAGAGAGGGAAUGGAGCGCGUAGAGCACC